AAUAACGAAAACUCAGGGACACGUGAUAAUGUUCUUAACUUUAAGUACGGUGAUACGUAAAAUGACUCUACAGUACUAAAGCGGACAACACGAAUCGUUUAUGUUGCACGCGAGUCAAAGACAAAACAAAUAGUGCGCCGACAUCCACUUAAGAAUCUAUGUUUAAUACAAAUCAUGUUACUAGUAAGUAAUGCAUAGUCCUCCUUGUCAACCAAAACAACAACCGUAACUGUAUGCAUUAUCAACAGUGAUUAAAGUGUGGGGACUC